UCCCUGGAGGUCUAGUGGUUAGGCUUCGGUGCUCUCUGUGCCGCAGCCCAGGCUCGAUUCUCGGCCAGGGAA